AUGGUGAAGGAGAAGACAGCAGCUCUGGAGCGGGCAAAGAAGGCGACGGCGAGGUCAAAGGGGAAGGCGACGAGCCGGGGCGGAUCUUCCUCGCGGACUGGCCUGCCGAAGGGUUGGUUCCAGGGCGACUGGAUCCACUCGAGGAUCUCCCAAGAAGACCUCGACGACCUGGCCGAGGGAGGGCUGAUCCCCUACGACUCGGCGCGGCUUCCGGGGAAGGAAUCCAAGCUGCAACCCCGGGAGGGUGAGCGCGUUCUUCUUGCCACCCACAUCGACCGUGGGUUUUCCUUGCCUCCUCAUCCUUUCUUCCGAGGGUUUCUGAACUUCUUUGGGGCUCAACUCCACCAUUUUGACCCCAACUCAAUCGUUUAUCUUGUCGCGUUCAUUUCCUUGUGUGAGAACUUCUUGGGUUGUCGACCUCACUGGGGUCUUUUCAAGCAUAUUUUCACUUGUCGCUCCUAG
rnacentral:rRNA from 1 species